rnacentral:rRNA from 1 species
CAGUAGCCGCGGGAAUACGGAGGGUGCAAGCGUUAUCCGGAUUUAUUGGGUUUAAAGGGUCCGUAGGCGGACUUAUAAGUCAGUGGUGAAAGCCUGUCGCUUAACGAUAGAACUGCCAUUGAUACUGUAAGUCUUGAGUAUAUUUGAGGUAGCUGGAAUAAGUAGUGUAGCGGUGAAAUGCAUAGAUAUUACUUAGAACACCAAUUGCGAAGGCAGGUUACCAAGAUAUAACUGACGCUGAGGGACGAAAGCGUGGGUAGCGAACAGGAUUAGAUACCCCUGUAGUCCCUGUCUCUUAUAC